rnacentral:misc_RNA from 1 species
AGCAGCCGCGGUAAUUCCGGCUCCAAUAGCGUAUAUUAAAGUUGUUGCAGUUAAAAAGCUCGUAGUUGAAUUUCGGGGUUAGUAGGUUGGUCAUGCCUCUGGUAUGUACUGGUCUCACUGAUUCCUCCUUCCUGAUGAGCCGUAAUGCCAUUAAUUUGGUGUUGCGGGGAAUUUGGACUGUUACUUUGAAAAAAUUAGAGUGUUUAAAGCAAGCUAACGCUUGAAUACAUUAGCAUGGAAUAAUGAAAUAGGACGUUCGAUCCUAUUUUGUUGGUUUCUAGGAUUGACGUAAUGAUUAAUAGGGAUAGUUGGGGGCAUUAGUAUUCAAUUGUCAGAGGUGAAAUUCUUGGAUUUAUUGAAGACUAACUACUGCGAAAGCAUUUGCCAAGGAUGUUUUCAUUAAUCAAGAACGAAAGUUAGGGGAUCGAAGACGAUCAGAUACCGUCGUAGUCUUAACCAUAAACUAUGCCGACUAGGGAUCGGAUGAUGUUAAUUUUUUAAUGACUCAUUCGGCGCCCUU